ensembl:lncRNA
CUGUAGCUGAACCAGGGGUGAAUAAUGACAGUGAAACUACAGCAUCCGAGACAUCAUGGAAGAAGAGCUGCCCAUGCAAGGAUUCAAAGAUCAGAGCCCUCUCCAGCAUCACCUUCACAGCGAAAAAGACACAAACCCAACGGCUCAACACUUGCAAGGCAGAGCAGUGCUGCAGCCCCGUGUGCCCUUCGACUCACUCCCUUUCCCUCGGCCAGGCCUCAAGCAGAGCAGUGAUUGAAGAGAGGUGGAGCCCCAUGACUGAUUCCCCUGAGAACAUAACUCUGGUUUCUCUGACACCCUGAACAAGAGCGAGAUGUCAGGAUCCUUCCUUAGGGCUGCUGCAUGAGAGGGAUGGACCGGUGACACUGAUGCUACAUCACCUCUUCUGAGCACAGGAGCUGAGUUCCACGUUUGGCAGCUCCAGGAUGAACCGGUGGCGUUUCCUUGACUCCAGUGGCGAUCGAUUCCAUUUGGAGCCUGUAGCAACUGACGUCCAGGGGAGCCCAAGUCCCACCCAUCACAUGGCAACAGGAAGCUUUGCGUGAUGCCUGGUGGCACAUCCCUCCAAAAGGAAGUGGGAAGAUUAAAGAAAGACGUUGAGGCCCUGGAAUCUGCCCAGAGAGGGGCAACGAAGCUGUGAACGGGCUGGAGCACAAGUCUUAUGGAGAGAGGCAGAGGGAACUGGUGUUCUUCAGUCUGGAGAAGAGGCUCAGGGGAGACCUCAUUGCUCUCUACAAUGCCCUGAAAGGAGGCUGUGGUGAGAGUGUUCAAUUCUUUCCCCGUCUCCCCCACCAGCCCCAGCCCACGAGCGAGCAGCUCCCGAAAAUGCUGAGGAAAUGGAGCUGAAAGCCUGGGGCAAUGGGGCAGAGAAGGUGAAUCUAAAGAGAUGCAGAAAUGAACCAGACAGGGCCGGGAAAUGUACGGAGAACCCACCCUAGCCUGUAUGUGAGGGAGUGCAUACCACAGCGUAUGAGAUCAACAGCCCCUUUCCGCAGUCUCAGUAGUGCUGAGUCCCAGAAGAGGGUUACAGAUUUACAAGGAAUUCAGAUUUUUACAUUCAGGAUGAAAUCAGCAAAUUUUAGAGCUUGCCGAGAUUGAAGCGACGGUGUUGAGCGAUGCAGCCCCGAGCACGCGGAGCCCAGCACCGCUUUGCUCCCAGUAAUGAGUCCCCCCGGGGGUCACAGCCCCCACUGCAUGGGGCUGCCCAAAGCCCUUUGCCCUGCGAUUCUUCCAGCAAAGACACUGUACAAUCACAGGCAGCUGCACUGAGGAAAAUGUAAAUGCAAUAGAAAACACAGACGUGGAGGAGCAUCUGUUCUCCCCUCCAGGUCAAGCAGUGGUCUUGAAAGAUGAACCGGCAUGGGGAGAGCUCAGAAGGAGCGAGGUGAGCACAUCUACCAGUGGAAUGUCUGCUCCUACAGUGGCACACCAGUCAGGUGAGAUGGUCUUUCAGCUCAAAAUCAUAUUCUGGGCUCUUGCAUUUUACAGAUGUUUAUAUCCAAAGCCAGAACUGUAUUUCCUAUGGUCCCAUCCGAAAAGCUCCAGCUGCAGACAAAUCUAGGGAGGCAUCAGCUCCUUCUGCAGCAGUGACUGUUGAUACCACCUCACUGAGCUGCCAAUGUCCACCAUGCAAUGUGCCUGCUACAUGAUGCCAGAGAGAAGCACAAUUCAGGGAAGGCUGGCAGGAAGGAGAGAGAAUGUAUAGCAUAGAAGCCUGGAAAGCAGGCCAAGAGGAGGUUAUUCCCAUGAUACAUCUCUGUUCCCCCCUCCCCAUCAUGUCAGCAGCCUCUUCAGCUUCACACAGAGGUUGUGAGGAUUCAUUAGUUAAUGUUUGUAAAGCACUAUAUAGAUGGAGAGAGCUAUGUAAGUGCUAAGUAUUAUUAUUAUUACAGAGAGUCGCUGUUAAGGCAAUGGAUAUGCUCUUAAGUGUCAUUUCAUAUUUAAUUAACGUGCAAUAAUUGUCUUCCAAAACCUGGAGGUACAUCUUUAUUCUUGACACUUCCUUUAAAGAGACACUGCAGCAGAGCUGCUGCUAAUGGGCCUCCUCUCUGGCAUAGGAGGAACAGGAUGAGCUGGGAACUGGAAGAAGAGGAAAGGGAGGUCAAUGAGGGACUUUCUUGUUCACAAUUCCACAAACAUGCCAUGGAUCCAUGGUGAGUUUGGGUUUUGAUCACCGAGCUGCCCCAAGGGAUACUGACCUGGUGAGGGGUCUGCAGCCUUCCCCUUAGACUUUCCCCAUGCCCUGCAUCGACUGAGCAGUGCCUGUGGCUUCUGAGUAACUGAACCCAGCUGUAGCUGUGCACCUUGCCUCUGUGAGUAGAAUAAAAGAACUAAAAAGGGAGGAUGGAGAAGCAUGAAAUCACAGUACUGGGAAUUUCCCUUCUAUUUUUCAGGAACAUGUUUGCCAAGAAGUGGUAUUCUCAGAGCUAGGUUACGUAUCUUUUACUGACAGAGGGAAGCAAGGAGAAAUCAGCUGUGGGGCCAUCUGCUCCUCAAGCAAAUGGGAAGGGGAAGCCACCUCUCCCACCUCCCCACGAUGUUUGCAUUUCCGAGUGAGACCAGAGAAGUAAAAAAAGAAGCAGUCCAUCAUUAACUCAGAAAUAACCCGCCUACAGGAGCUGCAGAAGGAUGCUGGGCCCUUCAUGCCUGUCUUUUUUUUUUUUACCUGAAUGUGUAAUUUCUCACUGGUUCGUUGACAAAUCAGUGCCCUCUAUGGGCCCUUGGCUGGCAUCUCUCUGAGGAGCCCACAGGGUGGGGUUGGGAGGAGCAGGAUGCUCCAAGAGAGCUGCGAUGGUGCCAGUCCCCUUGUCCUCACCAUCUUAAAGAGGCAGCCCCCCUACCAACAUCACUCCCACACACUUGUGUGCCCUUCCUGCCCCUCUCUGAUCACUGAGAUGCUCCUCAUCAGUGCUAAGUGCUCUGAAGGUCACAGGCUACACAGCUCCCAACAUCACUGAGGAUCAGGCUUUGGCCUUGCUGCCACCCCCCUGCUCCCCCCGGGACCCCUGAAGUGACAGAACCUGGCAGCUCGUUCCUCGCUUCCCCCUCCCACCUCCCCCUUCCUUCUCUCACUCUCAUUUAUUUCAAUUUGCUAUGCUUUCUUUCCUGGCUCUCAGCAUUAACUGGGAAGGGGGAGAGGAGGGUGGAGGGAUGGUUUCAUGGUGGAGAGGUGGGGAAAACCUUGUAUGAUGGUGAGUGAGGGUCUGCAGGUCAGAUUGGAGGUUAUGGGGAAAUCAGUCAACUUUUUAGGCUGAUUUUGGGUGUAGCCUCCCAUGAUUCAGGACAUAAUAGAGGUCAGUGAAUUGGCAAAGUGCUGUCAGGACCUCAGGAUGCCCUCAUAGCAACUUGGGCUGCUCUAUUUCAGUGCCAAUUCAUGGGAGCCAGGGCAGUGUGUGCUCAGGUAGAGGUGGCAGUGGGGCAUGGGCUGCAUUGCUGAGUGAAUGGCAUAUCUGUGACAUUCAUCCUCAGUGCAGACAGCGUGAUUUGUGGCUAAAGGGGAUGGGCGUCUGCUACAGCACUGCUCAGCCUCUCUGCUCCUUUUGCCCUUAUCCUUGGGGCCCCAAAAGGCUCCAUUUGCCAGGAAUGCCCUCCACUCACUGCAGCCAUCUGAGCAAACACGGGAUCUGCACUCAUCACCUCCUGCUUCCCUCCCUUUGACUGUGCUGUCACACAUUGCCACACAGCAGUUAUUGUUCCAGGCACUACGGCACUGCACAUAAUCCAGGUGACUUCCAGAGCGAUUCAGCUCUCCAGUCUUUCACAAACCCAAAUCAGUGUACAAGCCCUGCCCAUUAAGACUCAGAUUCCCACACAUGGCUCAUGGCGUCUGUAGCACUCCCUUCCCUGAACCAGACUGAUGUGCCACAUUACUGCCAUGUUAACCAAAAGCCCGUUUCAGUGACUUCUUGUCCUGUACAUGUUCUCUGCAGAUCCUCAUGGAGACGGUCUGUGGGGUCUGUUCUCUUUUAUUCCCUACAAAUCCCUCUACAAUGGCUGUAAGAAAUUCCCAGGUUAGCCAACUCCUUGUGGGUUUUGUUUGUUCUUUGUACUUAUUCAAGCUGAAGUCUAGAGAGGAAAAGCAGGGCAGAUGUGCUUGAAGGGCAGAGCUAAAAAGAGGACACUUCACGUUAGCAUAUAAAAUCAAAAUGUGAAGCCAUUAGAAAACAUGGCAAACAGGUGACAAAAAAUGUAUAUACUUACUGCCAACACGAGCUCCUGUCUGACAAGCUGAAUUAUAGCAUGCAUUUUUAAUCCAUCUUUGGAGCAGAGAUUCUACCAACCUCUCUCUCUAGAAAUACAUCACACAGGCUUUGGAUAUUGCUGCUGGUUGAUAUUAUCAGUACCCUCUUUUCCCCAAGAGCUUUCUUCAACAGCCAUCACCCUGCACUGCAGGUUGUCCGACAGAAAAUUGGAAUGGUAAUGAAGACUAAGAGAAGAGAGAAAGCAAAAAAGAAUACUUCGUACUCACAUCAUAACAAAUCUUAAGAGAAGGGGAUGGGAGAUAAUGUCACUGCCAGUUCAAAAAGGUGGAUACAAAAAUAUAAUGAAGGUGCCUGUGUUUCAACACGUUGUCCAGAAAGUGCACUAGCAUCUGAAAGUACAAAAAUACUCAGAACAAUCUAGCAUGUUCAGGACGUAAGUGUGUUUCUACCUGUUAAAGGGAAAGGCAAGAGAGAGAAUCCAGUUGCUAUGGAAAUCAGGCCAUCUCCAUGGGAAUUCAGAAAGUAGAGUAUCCUCUUGGCCAGUAAAUCAGGCAGCGAGCAGCCAUUUCUGGACCAUGGCACUGAGCAAUUCUAAGCUGCUCACAGGACAGUUUGUUUCCUCAGCACUGCCGCCCUACCUCAGUAUCAAUGAAAUUGGUGAAAAAAGGGGGUUAUUGGUGAAAUUAAGAAUUUGUUUUGUGGAAUGUAAAGAAGGUUCAGGGGAGAACUGAUAGCAGCCUUUCAGUAGCUAAAGGGGUGGGGAGGGGUAUAAGAAAGAUGGGGACAGAUUCUUUAGCAGGGUCUGUUGUGAUAGGACAAGGGGACAUGGUUUAAUUACCCCUAAACUGAAAGAGGGGAGAUUUAGAUUGGAUGUAAGGAAAAAAGCUUUGUACGUUAAGGCCAGGGAGGCUCUGACACAGGCUGCCCAGAGAGGUGGUGGUGCCCCAUCCCUGGAGACGGCCAAGGUCAGACUGGGUGGGCUCUGAGCUGUGGGUGUCCCUGUUCAGUGCAGGGGCAGUUGGACCAGAUGGCUUUUAAAGGAUCCUUCCAACUCAAACAAUUCCACAAUUCUCCGAUUCUCCUGCAUGUUUCUGUGGAGGUGUGUCGCGUGUCUUUGCUUUAGCUACAGUUAUUGGGAUAUAGAUUUAUGUCACUGGAAAAAAAGUGGAACUCCUGGUUUUGCUUCUCAGCAAAUGUUUUUUGUUCACAUUAGUUGCUGUACAAUAACAAAGGAUCAGGUAGAUGUGCAUGCAGGAAGUAAAAGGAAACAAAGGCCACAUUAAAGAAUAUAAAAAGAAGGAGCUGAGGUACAAACCCACACCUUGUUCAGGACUCCUCUCUUUGUGUUAAUGGACAAAUAUUCAUGGUGCCAUUGGGGGAUCCAAUUCCCUUGCCAUAGGCAGCAGCCUCCAGCUCUGCUGCUCCUGGGUACCAGUGAUUGCUUAGAGUUUAGGGUCCCACAAAGGCCUCCAAGCACAUCUCUUCCAGUCAGUGCCCCACAGCUAGGUUUACUCUGCUGUCACCUGAUGGAUGAGACUGAGAAGCUUGGAGACUUUUGAGAUUCUGAUGCUUUGCUACAGAGCUUUCUUCUGUUUCAUCAUUGCAUUUAAUCACUGGUGGGCAACUGGUCCCUAGAGCCCGGGAGGUUGGGUACUGCUGGAGUUGAAAGCUUUGGCAUGAGCGCCAGUGUGCAGACGAUGGAAAGCAGGUGAUGGAUUUACAGUGCUGAAAUCCUUGCUAUGACUGCUAUGCAAACACCAUAUAUUAUAGCUGUAAGUCCUGCAUAAGCCAAGAAGAUUAAAAAACACCUUGUAGAAAAGAGCUCCGGUCGGAUAUGCCUUUGUUCACGAGGACAACUAUGCAGUGGUACUAAUGCAUGGAUGUCAUUUAGUGCUGGGGGAGUUAAUGGGGCUUUAUUUGAAUAUAUCUCAGCUGCGUGAGUAAGGCUCACAGGCAGAAGUGUCUGUCUGGUGUACGUGUGUUGGAGGACACUGUCUGACAUUGAUGGAAAGCUGCUUGAUAGAGUUUCAUCUUUCAAUUCAUUUAGAUUUUUAAAGCUCAGGUUAAGUUGCCCAACUUAAUUUGCAAUCAUUUAAAGUAGGAGUUAAGUGAAGGUCACAGGCUGCUCUAAAUUAGAGGGAAACCGCUGUAGCACUGGCAUGCUUUGACCUUUUCAGUGUUUUCUGACUCUGCUGACCAGCUGAGCUCUUUAUAGCACUGUUAACCUGUGAGAAAUGUGUGAAGUGGUCAUUUCCCACAGUAAAGCAGGAAAUUUUGAAAGGUUAAAGUAGCAGUGAAUAUUCCUGGCAAGAGCAGGUACGGAAUCCCUUGGAACUGAUGAUCUGUGUGUACGUGUAUCUUCCUGCUCUGCAGUGUUUGUGUUAGAAGGGAAGUGAAGAGGAUGCAAAGCAGGGCUGUAGGCAGCUCACCCGAGCUCUGCCUGCAGGUUAUCCCAGAAAUCAGCAUGGUGCAGAGGGUGCUCUCAAACCCACAGGAAUCCGUGCUGUCUCAGAGCUAUAAAAAAAUACUACUACAAAAACUCCAGAAGUAACAUCAAACUCAGGACGUGGGGCUUUCCUAGAUCCCAUAUGCAGAACUUGGGGAAAAGACAGAUAUCAGUGUUCCCCCAUCCCUGGGGCUGUUCAAGGCCAGGUUGGAUGUGGCCCUGGGCAGCCUCAUCUGGUGAGUGGCAACUAGCCCACAGCACGAGCUUGGUCCUUUCCAAUCUAAGCCAUUCUAUGAUUCUGUGACGUACCUGGAGUUAACAGCAGUGAGCCCAGACAGUGUAGUAGAUGGGAUGCGCUAUCACAGUGCUCGAAGAGUAAAAUCCCUAUGCUCCAUGCCCCAUCUUUUUUAUGCACUUGUUUUCUUCCUUCCUGGUGUUUACGAUCCAGCUGCACGUUCUGCAGCUCUCUCUCUUCUGCCUUUAAUGAGGUAAAGUGGAGAAGUCGUAAAACCAGGCCGCCAUCGGUGUAGCAUCCUGGGGCUGCCAUAACGAGAGGCUUCUGGUCCUCACGAUACAACACCUUGGUGGCAAUGUCUAGUCCCACCUUCUUUGUGCAAAGGGCCAACAUAGGACAGCCCCUCUCCUCCAUUUCCUCCUGAUCGCUGGGGUGCAAGGCAGCUGUCAGAUGUUCAUCUGGAUUUUGUGGAUGUCACAGAUAGCCAGAGUGGGGAAAGAAGGAGGCAGUUUGCUCUGAGAAACAAGAGGGGGUUUACAUCAUUCCAGUACACUCUAAAUAUGCAGUAAGGGUCAAAAGUCUCUUCUGUUGCUCUAGGACUCCUGACUGCUGCAGGCUAAGCCACCAACUCUGAGAUCUGUGUAAGAGGGCAGAAGGGAAUAGCUCAUUGUUAAACAUCCACUUUGUCCAAUGCAUUGGUCAGGGGCUGACAGUUUCCAUUCUGGAGCUCUCAGAAAAUAAAGCGGCUCCUGAGCAUCCCUGCAAGGUGUUGUGGGUCACGCCAGCCACCUCCAUCCCCACACAGCUUAGAAGAGCACAGAAAUGCCAUUUGGCUUUCCAGACCACCUUCCAGCACGGCAGGGAAAGGGCUGGCGUUACACAUGCUGAUAGCGAUAGUACAUGAUAUGCAGUCAGCAGUUUGUUGCAAUCAGAGCUUCUGCUGAGCACGUCGAAAGCCUGCCCCUUUCCUGUUAAUUGAAUGUAAGCCCUUUGGUACUUCUCUCCCUUUGAUCUCUCUCAGAAUGAGACGUAAGGCUAUUAAGGCAGAGGAACCAGCGAGCACAAUGCUGGCAGUAAUCUGUGUCAGGAUGAAGGGAUGUUACGCAAGAGACCAGGAAUGAGAUGCAGUGUGAUUUUUUCUCCCUCCUCCCCCCAUGUUUUCUCAUCUAAUCCCAAGGGGUUCUUUGUAAUAUUCGCCGGAUGGCAACUACAAACACUGGUGGACACAAGGAGAAAAAACGUCAUGCAACAAACAUGUAAAAAAGCUGGUUUAGCACUGAAACACUGCAUCUCUCCAGCAAAACCUGCCUGCUUGCAGGAGAUACAAAUGACUCCUGGAAUCAAAUGCAUGUUACUGUGUUCAGCAUGCAGCAUUACUGCAGGAUUUAAACACGGCAAAGAGGGAAUUGCUGAUCACACUGAAACCAAAAUGAGAAUAAAUGCAUAAUAAGAAAAAAUAGAUUAGAAGAUAAUUACUUCAUUUUGUACCUGGAGCAAUUACUGUUUGGAUUAGAGAUGACUUGUAGGUGAAAUAGCUAGGUCUGCAAUAGAAGCUGUAGACACAAUGUUAAUAGUUAAAAUGUCAGUGCUAAGCUUCAUUAAAGGAGAAACCCAGCUCUAAACUUGGUUCGGUAUUUUCUUCCAUGAUUGCCACAGUGAGCACUUAUGUAACACGCUGCAUAUUUCAAAGCAAGUUAUAAAAUUAGCUAGGAACUGCACGUAAUGCCUCUUUGCAGAGCUGGAGGUGAGCAUGCAGCACCUUCCAGGUGGUGCUCGGAAUACCGUGAUAUCCCCUGCUUCUCAUUUAGGGAUCUAAAAUUACAAAGCCAAAGAAUCUGAUGCUGGGACCUAUAAAAAUGCCUGUUUUUCAUCCGAGAGGACAUGCAUAGGAGAGAGAGACACAGAGAGAGGACACAGUUAUUAUUUCAUUGCUGCAGUUCACUGGGAUUUUUUCUGAACACCAUUCCUAUGAACCUGGAUGGAGAAAGGCUGAAGGAGAAGAAAACCCGAAACACUUCAGCCUGCUUUUAUUUUCCGGUUAAAAAUGAAAGAAGUUAUGUAGAGCAGUUGAAGUAAACACCUGAAUCUUAAAAGACUGAAAAGGCGUUUGUAGCCGCUGACCAGAGCCGAAGAUAGAAGGAAUAAAACUGGCAAUUGAUACGUGCUGCAAAUCCUCAUGCCGAGUACAAACCUGACCUGUAUUUCAGCAGCUGCAGGCACCUUUCUGAUAUCUUCCCAGCAGUGCUGGGAGGUGCUCAGCCCAACAGCAAAGCCACGCACGCUGCAAGUCCCCAGCCUCCCUUUAGGGGACAGAGCUUCCCAAUGGCUGCUUUGAUUGUCUGUUUUCAAAAUACAAUCACAUGUGGAUAUUAAAAAUAGCACCACGCUGACUUGCUUCCUGUGAAAACAGGUUCCAGUGCUAGGAAACUAAACAUAAUUUUAAACGUUAUCAUCCGACUAAUCGUGUUGCUAUUCCAUUUCAGUCCAUAUAAUUUCUCCGGUAUGAACCUGGGUCACUUUUGCAUAUGUCCAAUCUAUUUUAUAUAUAUACGUUCACUCUAUUUGCACACUCAGAUGGGAGACAUAUGCCUCUUCUCAUUUGGGCAGGCCAUAGUGUUAUUAAAAUGGAAAUGUGCGGGCUUUGGGAUCCAACUGCAACAUAUGUUUAAAAAUGAAAGAUGAUUCUUUAGUUGUAACUACCAGAAGAACUCGGAGCUUUUGACUCCGUGUAUAAUUACCACGAGACCUUAACAGCUUAAUUCACCAGGUAAUUACAUGGUUAUUUUUUGUUCUAUAAAAGGUAAAGAGGUAACAUUUAAUUUACAAGGUGCUGCAUAAUCCUGUAAUUACUUGGUAAUUUCCGUGUCG